rnacentral:rRNA from 1 species
GAUGAACGCUGGCGGCGUGCCUAACACAUGCAAGUCGAGCGGAGUUAUGAGAGGUGCUUGCACCACUUUUAACUUAGCGGCGGACGGGUGAGUAACACGUGAGUAACCUGCCCUCGAGUGGGGAACAACAUCGAGAAAUCGGUGCUAAUACCGCAUAAUAUCGGAGAUCCGCAUGCUUCUCCGAUCAAAGGAUUUAUUCGCUUGAGGAUGGACUCGCGUCCGAUUAGUUAGUUGGUGAGGUAACGGCCCACCAAGACAUCGAUCGGUAGCCGAACUGAGAGGUUGAUCGGCCACAUUGGGACUGAGACACGGCCCAGACUCCUACGGGAGGCAGCAGUGGGGAAUAUUGGGCGAAUGGGCGAAAGCCUGACCCAGCAACGCCGCGUGAAGGAUGAAGGUUCUUCGGAUUGUAAACUUCUUUGAUCAGGGACGAAACAAAUGACG